AUUGAACGCUGGCGGCAUGCCUUACACAUGCAAGUCGAACGGUAACAGGUCUUCGGAUGCUGACGAGUGGCUAACGGGUGAGUAAUACAUCGGAACGUGCCUAGUAGUGGGGGAUAACUACUUGAAAGAGUGGCUAAUACCGCAUGAGAUCUAAGGAUGAUAGCAGGGGAUUGUAUGGACUUGUGCUAAUAGAGCGGCGGAUGGCAGAUUAGGUAGUUGGUGGGAUGAAAGCUUACCAAGGCGACGAUCUGUAGAUGGUCUGAGAGGACGAUCAGCGAAACUGGGACUGAGAGACGGCCCAGACUCCUAAGGGAGGCAGCAGUGGGGAAUUUUGGACAAUGGGCGCAAGCCUGAUCCAGCAAUGCCGCGUGCAGGAUGAAGGCCUUCGGGUUGUAAACUGCUUUUGUACGGAACGAGAAGCCCUGGGUUAAUACCCUGGGGUCAUGACGGUACCGUAAGAAUAAGCACCGGCUAACUACGUGCCAGCCGCCGCGGUAA
rnacentral:rRNA from 1 species